rnacentral:tRNA from 1 species
GCAAGUGUAGCUUAGCUAAAGCAUAACACUGAAGAUGUUAAGACGGGCCUUAAUAAGCCCCACAAGCA